UAUCUUUGACUAAAGUCAUUCUUCUCCAUCAGUAGUGCCUCUAUUAUGAUUUCUGCUUCUUCGGUGCUUCAAUCAGUGCUUCCAUCGUUGGUGCCGCUCCCAAUCUCGUCUCUCGUUUGUGAGUUUGAGUGGUUGUGGAGUUGAGGGUUGUGGUCUCUGGUUUACAUUUCGACUUGUGUCGCUUCAGUGGUGUAUGACUUUGAGGAGAAGCAUGGACAUGGAGCAUAUAAAUACAUGUUUUGAUGAUAUCAAAUUUCAUGAAGAACAUGACAAUGUAGAAGAAGAAUUAAAGAGUAGUAAUACAUUGACACGCCUACGUGUCAUUAAAGAGUAGUAAUACAUUGACACGCCUAUGUGUCAUACAACAGAGUAGUGUAGUUGGAUCCUCUUGAAAUUCUAAAUUUGUAAUCUGUUUUAAAUUUAAUUUUCUUUUAUUUUCUUGUAAAAGGUCAUUUAAGACCAAGUGUUUGGAAGAGUCCUUGAUGUAACACUACCUGCGCUAAGGGAAAGUUGAGCUUGGCUUACAAAUUGUUUGAGAUUUUCAGUGAUGCAGGUGUAAGUCCAGUGAGUUAUUGUUAUAAUUCUAUCAUGAGUUCUUUUGUCAAAAA